rnacentral:rRNA from 1 species
GAUGAACGCUGGCGGCGUGCCUAAUACAUGCGAGUCGAGCGAACAGACGAGGAGCUUGCUCCUCUGACGUUAGCGGCGGACGGGUGAGUAACACGUGGAUAACCUACCUAUAAGACUGUGAUAACUUCGGGAAACCGGAGCUAAUACCGGAUAAUAUAUUGAACCGCAUGGUUCAAUAGUGAAAGACGGUUUUGCUGUCACUUAUAGAUGGAUCCGCGCCGCAUUAGCUAGUUGGUAAGGUAACGGCUUACCAAGGCAACGAUGCGUAGCCGACCUGAGAGGGUGAUCGGCCACACUGGAACUGAGACACGGUCCAGACUCCUACGGGAGGCAGCAGUAGGGAAUCUUCCGCAAUGGGCGAAAGCCUGACGGAGCAACGCCGCGUGAGUGAUGAAGGUCUUCGGAUCGUAAAACUCUGUUAUUAGGGAAGAACAAAUGUGUAAGUAACUAUGCACGUCUUGACGGUACCUAAUCAGAAGGCCACGGCUAACUACGUG